AAGAGGUUUGAUGCUUCUGAAUUCAUUGUAUUAAUUCCACUUCCUACUUGCAGUAUGCUUUUAAUGAUCCCGGCUCAUGAUUUAAUUGCCAUGUAUUUAGCUAUUGAGCUUCAAAGUUUAUGGUUUUACGUGAUCGCGACAUUAAAAAGUAAGUCUGAAUUUUCCAUGGAAGUCGGCUCAAAAUAUUUGAUCUUAGGUGCAUUUCCCUCUGGAAGGAUGUACAAUGCUUGGAGGGACAGAAGUUUUAAGAGAAAUGGUCUCUUUUGA
rnacentral:rRNA from 1 species